rnacentral:sRNA from 1 species
CCCUAGCCCCGAUAGGAACGGUUACCCCGGAACUUGUGUUGGAGAGUUGGUGGGAUAUGGUGUUGGAGAACGUUGGCGUGAGGAGUAUGAGUGGAUAGCGGGAAAAGCU